GAUUUUUAUUUCCAAAGAAUUCCAGUCUCCAUCAAGAUAGUGGAGAAAUAAGGUCCUUGGUAGCAGGUUUUUCAAACGGUGGAUUCACCGAGCUUCUGCCAGUGACUGAGCUCUGCAUGGAAUUACUCUGUCACUGCCUGGGGGAAUCUUCAGACCCAAGAACCCGGCCCAUGAGACUUAGAGAGCCUUGUCUGCUGUCUUCACAUCUCCAAAGGGCUGUCAGAGAAAGAAGAACACGUAAUCUGUACAGUUUGAAAGACAUACCAAUUAUGCAUCCCUUCUGCAUAUUCCAUUUGAAUGGAGAAUAGACUCUAAAACUGAACUUUAACUGAAGGAAGCUAGAGAAAAAGGAUAGAAGGAGGACAAAUAUGCCAACCAAUCACCAUGGGACACCCAGGUUCAUACCAAUAGAUGAGCAGAAAGAAAAAGUGUGACCCUUUCUGCUGGUGAGUGCCACUGGGAGAGAAUAAUAGCUGAGGAGAUAACAAGUGCUUUAUUGCUAUGGAGCCAACAAGAAGGCCCAGACUAAGACAAACUGGGAUGUGUGAACACUGAUGCUGUUACAUAAAUUAAAUGUCACUCGUUAAUUCAA